GUGCACGCUGGCGGCGUGCCUAAUACAUGCAAGUCGCACGGAGGUUAAGUAGCUUGCUAUUUAAUCUUAGUGGCGCACGGGUGAGUAAUAUAUAGCUAACUUGCCCAUUACUAAGGGACAACAGUUGGAAACGACUGCUAAUACCUUAUACUCCGUAUCUAUAUAAGUAGAUACGGGAAAGUUUUUCGGUAAUGGAUAGGGCUAUAUCGUAUCAGCUAGUUGGUAAGGUAAUGGCUUACCAAGGCUAUGACGCGUAACUGGUCUGAGAGGAUGAUCAGUCACACUGGAACUGAGACACGGUCCAGACUCCUACGGGAGACAGCAGUAGGGAAUAUUGCUCAAUGGGGGAAACCCUGAAGCAGCAACGCCGCGUGGAGGAUGACACUUUUCGGAGCGUAAACUCCUUUUCUUGGGAAAGAAUUAUGACGGUACCCAAGGAAUAAGCACCGGCUAACUCCGUG
rnacentral:rRNA from 1 species